rfam:Lepisosteus oculatus linkage group LG10, whole genome shotgun sequence.
GCCAGCAGGCAUAUCACCCUGCAACUCACAACUGGCAACCCACUGAAGCUAAGCAGGUGUGAGCUUGGUCAGUAUCUGAAUGGGAGACCUCCUGGGAAAAACUAAGGAUUCUGCUGCAA